GAUGAACGCUGGCGGCGUGCUUAACACAUGCAAGUCGAACGAAGCACUUACAAUUGAUUCUUCGGAUGAGAGAGUUUGUGACUGAGUGGCGGACGGGUGAGUAACGCGUGGGUAACCUGCCUCAUACAGGGGGAUAACAGUUAGAAAUGACUGCUAAUACCGCAUAAGCGCACAGUAUCGCAUGAUACCGUGUGAAAAACUCCGGUGGUAUGAGAUGGACCCGCGUCUGAUUAGCUAGUUGGUGAGGUAACGGCUCACCAAGGCGACGAUCAGUAGCCGGCCUGAGAGGGUGAACGGCCACAUUGGGACUGAGACUCGGCCCAAACUCCUACGGGAGGCAGCAGUGGGGAAUAUUGCACAAUGGGGGAAACCCUGAUGCAGCGACGCCGCGUGAGUGAAGAAGUAUUUCGGUAUGUAAAGCUCUAUCAGCAGGGAAGAAAAUGACGGUACCUGACUAAGAAGCACCGGCUAAAUACGUGCCAGCCGCCGCGGUAAGAC
rnacentral:rRNA from 1 species